rnacentral:rRNA from 1 species
UACGUAGGCAGCGAGCGUUGUUCGGAGUUACUGGGCGUAAAGGGUGUGUAGGCGGUUUUCUAAGUUUGGUGUGAAAUCUCCCGGCUUAACCGGGAGGGUGCGCCGAAAACUGGGAGACUAGAGUGCGGGAUGGGAGAGUAGAAUUCCUGGUGUAGCGGUGAAAUGCGUAGAUAUCAGGAGGAACACCAGCGGCGAAGGCGGCAUCCUGGACUGGUCCUGACGCUCAGGAGCGAAAGCGUGGGGAGCGAUCCGG